ACGGAAGGUCCGGGCGUUAUCAGGAUUUAUUGGGUUUAAAGGGAGCGUAGGCGGAGCGUCAAGCCAGCAGUGAAAUGUAGCGGCCAAACCGCUGCACUGCUGUCGGAACUGGCGACCUCGAGUGCACACGAGGCAUGCUUAAUUUGUGGUGUAACGGUGAAAUGCAUAGAUAUCACGAAGAACACCGAUUGCGAAGGCAUCGGGCCGGAAUACAACUGACGCUGAAGCUCGAAAAUGCUGGUAUCGAACAG
rnacentral:rRNA from 1 species